rnacentral:rRNA from 1 species
AUUGAACGCUGGCGGCAUGCUUUACACAUGCAAGUCGAACGGCAGCGGGGACUUCGGUCCGCCGGCGAGUGGCGAACGGGUGAGUAAUGCAUCGGAACGUGCCUAUCAGUGGGGGAUAACGCUUUGAAAGGAGUGCUAAUACCGCAUAUUUUUUGAGGAGAAAAGCAGGGGACCUUAGGGCCUUGCGCUGAUAGAGCGGCCGAUGUCGGAUUAGCUAGUUGGUGAGGUAAAGGCUCACCAAGGCGACGAUCCGUAGCGGGUUUGAGAGGAUGAUUCGCCACACUGGGAAUGAGACCCGGCCCCGACUCCUACGGGAGGCAGCAGUGGGGAAUUUUGGACAAUGGGCGAAAGCCUGAUCCAGCCAUGCCGCGUGAGUGAAGAAGGCCUUCGGGUUGUAAAGCUUUUUUGUCCGGGAGGAAAUCCUGGCCUUUAAUACAGGUCGGGGAUGACAGUACUGGAAGAAUAAGCACCGGCUAACUACGUG